UUGGUCAUCAAGAUUUCAUAACUACAACUGAUGUUCAAUUACAAGGGAUAUUAAUCAGUCUCCGUGGACUAUACACUGUGCCUAGUUUCAUCCUCAGAGACUGAUGUGUAAGCUUAAAGUAAAGACAUCAAAUCAAAGUAUCAGCUAUCAAGAGGAAGAACAUUCAAAAUCAUAUUGUGAUACACAAAUCAAGCAAGUCUAUAACCAGCAAUAUGAUACAGGCCAAGAAAAAGCUGGAUAUUUGAUUGGAAGGGUGGCACAAAAAAGAUGGGUUAUCACUAGGGAAACAAGCUCGGAAUACAGUUAACUGUUGGGACAUCAAGCCAAAUACUUCUAAACUUAUUUGAAUCAUUUUUGCUGUUUAUUAUAAUUCAUCCAAUUGUCUUAUUAAAUAUAUAAAUUUAUAUAUAUACACAAUUCCUAAUAUAGAAUUUCUAAAAAUGUUUUAUUAUAAUAUUUAAAAAUGAAACAAACAUGUUCCCAGAACACAGCCACAUAAUUUCAACAUGUUCCCAGAACACACAAAAUGUCAACAUGUUCCAUGAACUCACAAAAUGGCAACAUGUUCCCAGAACACAGCCAAAUAAUGGCAACAUGUUCCCAGAACACAGCCAAACAAUGUCAACAUGUUCCAUGAACUCACAAAAUGGCAACAUGUUCCCAGAACACACAAAAUGUCAUUAUGUGCCCAGAACACACAAAAUGGCAACAUGUUCCCAGAACACACAAAAUGGCAACAUGUGUCGAGAACACAAAAAAUGACAACAUGUGCCGUUAACAAUACUUCACUUUUUCCUUAACAAUUUUACAAGCAGGUAAUAAAGCCAUAAAUCUUUACUGUGGAUAUAGCCAAUAAAUAGGGUAACCUUCACUUUAUGCAAUUUGUAGUUUUCAAUGCCUGUCCCAUGCAUAGUAUUUAGCCUAGUGUUUUGGGCCUUGCUUCAUUUACUCAAUAAAUUAUAUAGGCAUGAGAAUUUUCAUUUUAAUCUGCAAAAGCUACAUUCUGUACAUUAUUAUUUUCAAACUACAUCAUAUAUUUUUCUCCUCUCUGAUAAAAAAUAUUCCUCAUAUUGUUUGUGUCAAGUAUUUUAUUUUUAUCUAUGCAAUGCUAUAUUCCUAUUUUAUAAUAAUUACUUUUAUACAAAUUCUUUUGAAAACUGUUCUUUAUUGAUUUGUAUCAUUUUCUUUAUUUCUGAAAAAUAAAACUUUGUUUGGGAAUCC